rnacentral:siRNA from 1 species
GGAUUCAUCACCAUGCACGG